rnacentral:rRNA from 1 species
AGAUUGAACGCUGGCGGCAGGCCUAACACAUGCAAGUCGAGCGGUAGAGAGGUGCUUGCAUCUCUUGAGAGCGGCGGACGGGUGAGUAAUGCCUAGGAAUCUGCCUAGUGGUGGGGGAUAACGUUCGGAAACGGACGCUAAUACCGCAUACGUCCUACGGGAGAAAGCGGGGGACCUUCGGGCCUCGCGCCAUUAGAUGAGCCUAGGUCGGAUUAGCUAGUUGGUGAGGUAAUGGCUCACCAAGGCGACGAUCCGUAACUGGUCUGAGAGGAUGAUCAGUCACACUGGAACUGAGACACGGUCCAGACUCCUACGGGAGGCAGCAGUGGGAAUAUGGACAAUGGGCAAAGCCUGAUCCAGCCAUGCCGCGUGUGUGAAGAAGGUCUCGAUUGAAAGCUAGUUUAAGUGGAGGUAAGGUUAGUAACCUUAAUACGUUGACUAACUUUAGGAACGUUUACCGAC